rnacentral:lncRNA from 1 species
UAUUCUCAUUGUUUGUAAGUGUCUAAUUUUUAUACUAUUAACCCUUCACAAACAAGUCUGACUGAGAAAUGAUUCUAAUUCUAUAUUACUUUUUACCAGAUUUUAUCUAUUAGUAUUUCAGAUUUGUUGAUUACAAAUUUUUUAUAUGCAUAGUAAUUGCUUUUGUUAAAAGCUAUUUUAGCGUUUCAUAUAUCAUUAACAAAUCUGAUAGUUACCUUAUGUUGGAAAAUUUUGAAAUGCAUGUACAUUAUAUCUGUACAGCAAAACUGCAAACUUGAACAUUAUAAAGAAUUAGAUUACAAAUAUUGUGAGUUAUCUCCCAUUAUGGGUGAACAAAUUUCAAGAUUUUUUUUAAAGUCACACCAGCUGAAUUUAAAGAUCUUUUAGAAAAUUCUUAAUUGUAAUUUGAAAUUACAAAAAUCUAUUAUUGCACACCUUAUAAAGAAGAAAUUAAAAAAAAAAGUGUGUUUAUGAAGCUGAUGCAAUUUAAAAAAAAAUAAGAGAUUUCUGAAGUAGACGAACAAUUUGCCCUCCCAAAGAAAUCAGUGCAUUUAUGAGAUUAUAAUUGUUGUUUGGAAUAGUUUAUUGAUCAUCUGCUGUUAUUCUUUUUUUUCAAAAAUAUUUGAAAGACAAAGUUUUCAAAUGUUAAAAUACAUGUACAGGGAUCAAAUUACAUGUGCAAUCUGUUCACAUAUUCAAUUUGCGUAUGCUUCAUAAUUGAUAUUAUUGUAUUUAAUAUUCAUUGAAAGAUCUGAUGUAUCGCCAUAAAGAUUAUAUGUUUACACCACACACAAUUGAUGUAAUACACUGUUUACACAUAAAAAGAAAGUAUGGUAUUUUCACUCAUUUUGUGUAUUGUGCUGUUAAUACAUCAUAGUAUGUUAGCUUUUCACUCAUUUUGUGUAUUGUGCUGUUAAUACAUCACAGUAUGUUAGCUUUUCACUCAUUUUGUGUAUUGUGCUGUUUAUACAUCUUAGUAUUUAGCUUUUCACUCUUUCUGUGUAUUGUGUAUAUAUGUUGUGUAUUAAUGGCUUUUCCAUAACAGAGAAUAAUUUAUAGCACCAGGUUGACCAAAAGUAUAAUUUAUUUUACAAGACAUUUAAAAUGUAACACUUAUUAAAAAAUUGUUUCAAAAGAAGAAAAAAAACACUUCAGCAAUACAUGUAGUUCACUAUAUGCUAUGUUCAUCAUUUUUUUGUUUGUUAUUUAGUUGGUUAUUUGUAAGCAAUAGGCAUUAUUCAAUAAGAAUUACCUAAUGAUUUAUUAUGGACAGUGGAAAUGGGAUGUACAAACAGCCUACAAGCCCUGAUUCUUACAAAGUGAUAUACAGAAUAAUUGUUUAUACAGAAGGUUGUAACACAUUUAUAAGUUUUGCCUGAGAAGCAAAAGUUGUUUAAUUUACAUUCAAAUGAUAGAUUUAAUUGAUUAAAAAAAAUAUAUAAUAUUUGAAGAGAAAGCCAUUUUCUUAUCACUGUCUCUGGUAAAUAACCUAUAGAAAAAAUUCUACAUAGAAGCGUAUAAGUUAUGAAUAGUGAAAAUUCAGAAAUUAUUUUGUGCUUUUAUUAUUGUAAUUUUUAAAGAAUUGUGAGAUGAAUGCGACUUAAAUUAUUGCGAUUUUGAAAAAAUCUGAAAACAGGUAUUUGUUUUAUUGACCAUAAAGGGAGUUCUUAUUAUCGAGACCAACCAGCUGCAUUAUUCCCUUUUAAUAAUAAAAACCUCACAAUAAUCUACAAAAUUGAAAUGAAUUUACAAUAAAUGAACAAUAGUUGUCUUUUCUUGGUGUGUGGUGUUCAAGGUUGUAGUUUUAAAAAACUUUAACAUUUUGUAAGUGAAUGUAGUUCAUGGCUGUGCCAUACUAAAUAAUUUAGUGAUAUAGUAGAUUUUCGUGGUAUUUUGAAUUCUACAUUUUUACAUUAUAAUUUUAACCAUUGUGUUGUAAUUGUAUUAAGGGGAAUGACACUCAUUUGGGGAAGAAGGGGAGUGAAAAAAAACAGGGGAUGUGUGAUAAAGGGGAUUAAAACGUGAGAAUGUUGGAUACUGAGGGUUGGGGAACAAUUUGAAGCUGGGAAAAAAGGGGGAAAAGUGGGAAGUAUAAAAAAACAGACAAAAAAUUGGGAUUUUGGAAAUGAGCACCUUUUGUGUCAUCCCCCUCUUGUAUUACAUUUUUGUGAUAAUAUGGAUAUUGUCUCAAUGCUUAAUUAUUAUUUUAUAACUAACAUUUCACCAAUGAUUAGAAAACAUGUAAGGGGUCAUCCGUAAUUGUCAACCAUUUUCCAAAGUGUACAAAACGUACACUUUUUCAGAAUCAAAAAGUGUACAUCAACCAUAUUUAGAUUUCAAGACAAGAAGCAAUCAUUUUUAUUAAAAAAAAUAUCCUGUCUAUCAUAGUUUAGUUUAAUAUAGAAAUUUGCAUUGAAAAAAACUGAAACAUUUCUGACUGUUUUAUACAGUGAUAAAAAAAA